AUGAUAUGUGUUGUUUUACGGGUCAGUCAUAGUAGUAUGAAUAGGUGUUGUUUUACAGGGUCAGUCAUAGGUGUUGUUUUACAGGGUCAGUCAUAGUAGUAUGAUAGGUGUUGUUUUACAGGGUCAGCCAUAGUAGUAUGAUAGGUGUUGUUUUACAGGGUCAGUCAUAGUAGUAUGAUAUGUGUUGUUUUACAGGGUCAGUCAUAGUAGUAUGAUAGGUGUUGUUUUACAGGGUCAGUCAUAGUAGUAUGAUAUGUGUUGUUUUACAGGGUCAGUCAUAGUAGUAUGAUAGGUGUUGUUUUACAGGGUCAGUCAUAGUAGUAUGAUAGGUGUUGUUUUACAGGGUCAGUCAUAGUAGUAUGAUAGGUGUUGUUGUACAGGGUCAGUCAUAGUAGUAUGAUAGGUGUUGUUUUACAGGGUCAGUCAUAGUAGUAUGAUAGGUGUUGUUUUACAGGGUCAGCCAUAGUAGUAUGAUAGGUGUUGUUGUACAGGGUCAGUCAUAGUAGUAUGAUAGGUCUUGUUUUACAGGGUCAGUCAUAGUAGUAUGAUAGGUGUUGUUUUACAGGGCCAGCCAUAGUAGUAUGAUAGGUGUUGUUUUACAGGGUCAGCCAUAGUAGUAUGAUAGGUGUUGUUUUACAGGGUCAGCCAUAGUAGUAUGAUAGGUGUUGUUAUACAGGGUCAGUCAUAGUAGUAUGAUAGGUGUUGUUUUACAGGGUCAGUCAUAGUAGUAUGAUAGGUGUUGUUUUACAGGGUCAGUCAUAGUAGUAUGAUAGGUGUUGUUUUACAGGGUCAGUCAUAGUAGUAUGAUAGGUGUUGUUUUACAGGGUCAGUCAUAGUAGUAUGAUAGGUGUUGUUUUACAGGGUCAGUCAUAGUAGUAUGAUAGGUGUUGUUUUACAGGGUCAGUCAUAGUAGUAUGAUAGGUGUUGUUUUACAGGGUCAGUCAUAGUAGUAUGAUAGGUGUUGUUUUACAGGGUCAGUCAUAGGUGUUGUUUUACAGGGUCAGACAUAGUAGUAUGAUAGGUGUUGUUUUACAGGGUCAGUCAUAGUAGUAUGAUAGGUGUUGUUAUACAGGGUCAGUCAUAGUAGUAUGAUAGGUGUUGUUUUACAGGGUCAGUCAUAGUAGUAUGAUAGGUGUUGUUUUACAGGGUCAGCCAUAGUAGUAUGAUAGGUGUUGUUUUACAGGGUCAGUCAUAGUAGUAUGAUAGGUGGGUUUUACAGGGUCAGUCAUAGUAGUAUGAUAGGUGUUGUUUU
rnacentral:lncRNA from 1 species